rnacentral:rRNA from 1 species
UGGGGAAUAUUGCGCAAUGGCCGAAAGGCUGACGCAGCGACGCCGCGUGUAGGAUGAGGCCCUUCGGGGUGUAAACUACUGUUGCCCGGGACGAACGGCAGACUUUGGUCUGCGUGACGGUACCGGGUGAGGAAGCACCGGCUAACUCCGUGCCAGCAGCCGCGGUAAUACGGAGGGUGCGAGCGUUGUCCGGAAUCACUGGGCGUAAAGGGCGCGUAGGUGGCUUGGUAAGGGGGCGGUGAAAGCCCGGGGCUCAACCCCGGGUCUGCCGGACCGACUGCUGAGCUAGAGCACACUAGAGGCAAGUGGAAUUCCGGGUGUAGCGGUGGAAUGCGUAGAUAUCCGGAAGAACACCGGUGGCGAAGGCGGCUUGCUGGGGUGUGGCUGACACUGAGGCGCGACAGCGUGGGGAGCAAACAGGAUUAGAUACCCCCGUAGUCC